rnacentral:rRNA from 1 species
AACGUAGGUACCGAGCGUUAUCCGGAUUUACUGGGCGUAAAGCGCGUUCAGGCGGUUUGGCAAGUCGGGCAUGAAAUCUCUCGGCUCAACCGGGAGAGGUUGUCCGAUACUUCCAGACUUGAGGGCAGUAGAGGGUGGUGGAAUUCCGGGUGUAGUGGUGAGAUGCGUAGAUAUCCGGAGGAACACCAGUGGCGAAAGCGGCCACCUGGACUGCACCUGACGCUGACACGCGAAAGCUAGGGGAGCGAACGGG